UAGGGAAUCUUCCGCAAUGGGCGAAAGCUUGCCGGAGCAACGCCGCGUGAGUGAUGAAGGUCUUCGGAUCGUAAAACUCUGUUAUUAGGGAAGAACAAAUGUGUAAGUAACUAUGCACGUCUUGACGGUACCUAAUCAGAAAGCCACGGCUAACUACGUGCCAGCAGCCGCGGUAAUACGUAGGUGGCAAGCGUUAUCCGGAAUUAUUGGGCGUAAAGCGCGCGUAGGCGGUUUUUUAAGUCUGAUGUGAAAGCCCACGGCUCAACCGUGGAGGGUCAUUGGAAACUGGAAAACUUGAGUGCAGAAGAGGAAAGUGGAAUUCCAUGUGUAGCGGUGAAAUGCGCAGAGAUAUGGAGGAACACCAGGGGCGAAGGCGACUUUCUGGUCUGUAACUGACGCUGAUGUGCGAAAGCGUGGGGAUCAAACAGG
rnacentral:rRNA from 1 species